rnacentral:lncRNA from 1 species
GGGCAGAGAAUACCUGAUCAAACACCUUAUCUUGUCUCGUUACUUCAAGAUAUGAUGGGCUCAGGAAGAUGUAUAUAGAGUGCCUCAAGAGAUGCAGCAUCAACAAUGCAAAGAAAGUCCUCCCACUAGAACAAGAGCCAAGUUGGAUGGACCCCAUCAUCGGCUACUUAGUGGAUGGGGUCCUCCCCAAUGAUCCUUUAGAAGUGAGUUAGUUGAGAUGCAUGGCAUCUCGAUAUGUCCCAUU